GAGAGGUUGUAGUAGGUGACUUCUAAAGUAGCUCCCUUCCAACACUAACAUUCUUUGUCUCUAAGUAGGCCAACUGUACGGAAAGUCUACAUUGGCUCGGAACAAUUGAGGCUGGGAGAGGACCUCAGGACGAGGACAUGCAGAAAAAGUGCUGAGUGUUCUUUAAAGCAGUAGCAAACCAUGGGUUUGGGUGAGUCUUGGGCUAACCCAAGUCUAACUGACCCUUUGUAGCUUUAUCUUCCUGCUUAUACAUCCCAGUUGCUCUAUACAACUUCUACACAAUAGUCAGGCUUCAGAGACGUACAUAAAGGAGCAAGUUAGCCAAGUUCAGUCUGAGAGCCAGGUCUAGCCGUCUUCUAGAUCACUGUCUGACUUCUGAAUUAAGGAAUUAUUUAGAUAGGUUGCUUAUUUCCACAGGUUCAAGGCUCCUGGCCUCCAGUCUUUCUGUUUUAUACCCGUCCUACACUCAGUUAUUUUCUUGGAAAAAAAAAAAUUCCUGUAUAUGGUGUCAUAUAACUGGUAAUCUCAGCACUUUGGAGGGAGGCUGAAACCAGUGGACUGCCAAGAGUUCAAGACUAGCCUGGGCACACACACACGCACACGCUCACAUGCACAUGUUCACACACACACUUUCACACGCACAGUGAAUUCCUGUCUCAAAACAAAAUGCACAUGCACAGGCAUGCACGUAUGCACCCACAUCAAUCACGCUGUUGUUUGUUUGUCUGCCCAGCCCCCUUGUUGCCUCCAGAGCAAAGCCUGACUCUUGAGCAGGCAGGCUAGGUCCUCUGGGAACAUCUUUGGCUGAUCAGAGUCCAUCAUGUUAGUGAUAUGCAGCUGCUCCUUGCCCCUCCCCCCACAACGAGCUUUCAUUCUUCUGUGCGUUUUCUUCAUGCUCUUAAAGGUAUCACAGCAAUUUCCCCACAUCCAUUCCAGCUGGUGAUUUCCUGCUUGGUCGUCUUUUAAAACCCAGCCAUCUGAAUCCGAGAGUUGCUUCUUCAGCAAGGCCUCCCCUGACUCCUUCAGAUGUCUAAGCACCACCCCUACUCUUCUGCUGCAGCAUCUCCACUUGCUUUUGUCCUUCAUCUCCCUGAAAUUAUUUGCUUACUCAUCCAUCCAUGUCAGUUGCAAAAGCAUGACUUCCUCUAGUCCAAAGGCCAUUCAUGUUCAAUAUGUUAGCACUCGGAGCGUCUCCAGUGGUUGUUUCAAACAAGGCAAAUGAGUUCAGUUGAACUUUAUAUGUUCUGCCCUCCGACUGUGACUGUUAUUUACUUCCCUCCAAACAAAAUGUAAUAAUAAAAU
rnacentral:lncRNA from 1 species